rnacentral:rRNA from 1 species
GACGAACCGAGCGAACGUUGUUCGGAAUCACUGGGCUUAAAGGGCGCGUAGGCGGGCUGUCAAGUCUGGGGUGAAAUCCCGCGGCUCAACCGUGGAACUGCCUUAGAUACUGACGGCCUCGAGGGAGGUAGGGGCGAGCGGAACUGUGAGUGGAGCGGUGAAAUGCGUUGAUAUUCACAGGAACUCCGGUGGGGAAGGCGGCUCGCUGGACCUUUUCUGACGCUGAGGCGCGAAAGCUAGGGGAGCAAACGGG